CUACGGGUUGCAGCAGUGAGGAAUAUUGCACAAUGGGGGGAACCCUGAUGCAGCAACGCCGCGUGGAGGAUGACGCAUUUCGGUGUGUAAACUCCUUUUAUAUGUCAAGAAAAUGACGGUAGCAUAUGAAUAAGCACCGGCUAACUCCGUGCCAGCAGCCGCGGUAAUACGGAGGGUGCAAGCGUUACUCGGAAUCACUGGGCGUAAAGGAAGCGUAGGCGGGUUGGAAAGUCAGGUGUGAAAGCAUACAGCUUAACUGUAGAACUGCACUUGAAACUUCUAAUCUAGAGUAUGGGAGGGGGAGAUGGAAUUAGUGGUGUAGGGGUAAAAUCCGUAGAUAUCACUAGGAAUACCUAAAGCGAAGGCGAUCUCCUGGAACAUUACUGACGCUAAGGCGUGAAAGCGUGGGGAGCAAACAGGAUUAGAUACCCUAGUAGUC
rnacentral:rRNA from 1 species